rnacentral:rRNA from 2 species
CAGCCGCCGCGGUAAAACCAGCACCUCAAGUGGUCAGGAUGAUUAUUGGGCCUAAAGCAUCCGUAGCCGGCUCUGUAAGUUUUCGGUUAAAUCUGUACGCUUAACGUACAGGCUGCCGGGAAUACUGCAGAGCUAGGGAGUGGGAGAGGUAGACGGUACUCGGUAGGAAGGGGUAAAAUCCUUUGAUCUAUUGAUGACCACCUGUGGCGAAGGCGGUCUACCAGAACACGUCCGACGGUGAGGGAUGAAAGCUGGGGGAGCAAACCGGACUAGAUACCCGGGUAGUCCCAGCUGUAAACUAUGCAAACUCAGUGAUGCAUUGACUUGUGGUCAAUGCAGUGCUGCAGGGAAGCCGUUAAGUUUGCCGUCUGGGAAGUACGUACGCAAGUAUGAAACUUAAAGGAAUUGGCGGGGGAGCAC